GCCCUAGUAGCUCAGCGUC
rnacentral:tRNA from 3 species